UUUUUUUUUUUUCAUGAAUGCAGACAGAUGAAAUAAGACAGGAAUUUGAUGAAGAUAUGUCCAUCCUGCGUGCUUUCUCAAUUGUUUUUGAAAGGAGGCCAGAAUUGAGGAUAGAGGGCCUUGCCCAUAAUGUGCUUCAGUGGUAUUUAUGUAGAAUGGAAGGCUGGUUUUCUACGGAUGCUGAUACCAUCUCACUAAAAUGUUGGGAUCAUGAUCCUCUUAAAGCUCCAGGACCAGACGGUUUUCCUGCUUGUUUCUUUCAGCAAAAUUGGGAUAUUUUGCACCAAGAGCUAUGCUCUCUUUGAUAUGGAAGGGAAUCAAGUUCCUCCAGAGUUAGUCACUAAAAUUGGUGAAGUAUUUGAGAGCAUUUUGGAGGAGGCAAGUGAUCUUUUAUUGUUAAUUAUUUGAUUUUAGUUUUUUAGUUUUCUUCCUAGAUAACAUUGUCAAAGUCAAAUGCAGUUGCUGUAAAUGCACUCAAAUUGGAUCUUGUGCUUCUAGUAAUUGAGCUUCAAGUGGUAUUUUGCCUAAUGAUGGACAUUCAUUUACUUGUUUUUUUUUUUUCAUGAAUGCAGACAGAUGAAAUAAGACAGGAAUUUGAUGAAGAUAUGUCCAUCCUGCGUGCUUUCUCAAUUGUUUUUGAAAGGAGGCCAGAAUUGAGGAUAGAGGGCCUUGCCCAUAAUGUGCUUCAGUGGUAUUUAUGUAGAAUGGAAGGCUGGUUUCUACGGAUGCUGAUACCAUCUCACUAAAAUGUUGGGAUCAGGCAACUAAUUGGAGCGAGAUAUUUCAACAAAGGCUAUGUUUCGUAUUCGGGGCCACUCAACUCUUUAUUUGAAACGGCACUUGACCAUGAAGGUCAUGGCAAAGAUAUUACAUCAAGUGGCUAGGUGGAAUGGCACAAAGGUUGCCGUAAAGAGAAUUGACAAGGACAGCUAUUCAGACCCUGAAAGCAUACAUUGGACAUAGUGGCAUAAAAUCCAGAUAAAUUCAGAGUUGUUGCACUUGCAGCUGGUUCAAAUGUAACUCUUCUUGCAGAUCAGUUUCAGAUUCGGCUUUCCUCAACCCUGCAAUUUCGCCUUCCUCGAUACCCUAAAUCUCCGAUCCAUCAUAUAGACUUGGGGGCUGAGUAUGAUGAUGAUAAUUUGCUUCCACAUACUCCGGUUGCUGAUGAUCUGCGUUCCUAAGUUGUCCCUCAAAAUGGAUGCAAAUUGAUGCAUUAAAUGCAAAACAAAGCUAAUUGAGCGAUUUUGGACAGUUUCGACAUCAGUUUGUAAUUUGGGCAUAACUCUCUCAUAAAAGCUCUGAUUGAGAUGAUUCAAGAUGCUGUGGAACGCCAAGAAAAAGAUAUACAACUUUUAUGUUUUGCGUUUUGAGAGAUACCGAAUGAAUCAAGGUCGAAAUCGGGCUUGAAGUUGACGUUCUGAUGUGGAUCUGAUGCGAUUUAUUUGCGGAAGUUUUCAGAUAUGGAAAUUUCUUGACUUUGAGCCUUUUCAUAAUCAUCCAAUCAAUUCCAGCCAAGCCAAGCAAAUAAAUGAAAAGUUAAAGCAAAAGGAAGAAAAGGAGAGAAAAGAAGCGUGGAGGACCAUGGAAUUAAAGAAGAGAUUUGUGGGGACCACGUGGAAGAAAACAACAUGAAAUGAGCAUCUCUUUCCAUGACAAGGCAAAUUGAUUUUCUCUCCAUACUUGGCUGAUUUGUGGGGACUUAAACAAGGAAAGAAUCGAUAAAGCAUAUGGUAACAAAAGUUUCCAUUGAAAUCAUCACCUUCCUAGUUAUCCUAGCCUUUAUUUUAUGUUUAAUAUUUUCCUUAAUUAGUA